rnacentral:rRNA from 1 species
CGGAGGGUGCAAGCGUUAUCCGGAUUCACUGGGUUUAAAGGGUGCGUAGGCGGGCAUGUAAGUCCGUGGUGAAAUCUCCGAGCUUAACUCGGAAACUGCCAUGGAUACUAUGUGUCUUGAAUGUUGUGGAGGUGAGCGGAAUAUGUCAUGUAGCGGUGAAAUGCUUAGAUACGACAUAGAACACCAAUUGCGAAGGCAGCUCACUACACAAAUAUUGACGCUGAGGCACGAAAGCGUGGGGGAUCAAACAGGAUUAGAUACCCUGGUAGUCCACGCCCUAAACGAUGAUUACUCGACAUACGUGAUACACGAUGUGUGUCUGAGCGAAAGCAUUAAGUAAUCCACCUGGGAAGUACGACCGCAAGGUUG